rnacentral:rRNA from 1 species
UGGGGAAUAUUGGGCAAUGGGGGAAACCCUGACCCAGCAACGCCGCGUGAAGGAAGAAGGCCUCGGGUUGUAAACAUUCUUUUAUCCACGGGAGCGAAGGAAGUGACGGUACCUGGAGAAAAAGCAACGGCUAACUACGUGCCAGCAGCCGCGGUAAUACGUAGGUUGCGAGCGUUGUCCGGAUUUACUGGGUGUAAAGGGCGUGUAGGCGGAGAAGCAAGUUGGGAGUGAAAUCUAUGGGCUCAACCCAUAAACUGCUCUCAAAACUGUUUCCCUUGAGUAUCGGAGAGGCAAGCGGAAUUCCUAGUGUAGCGGUGAAAUGCGUAGAUAUUAGGAGGAACACCAGUGGCGAAGGCGGCUUGCUGGACGACAACUGACGCUGAGGCGCGAAAGCGUGGGGAGCAAACAGGAUUAGAUACC